GAGCCGUUAGCUCAGUCGGUAGAGCAUCUGACUUUUAAUCAGAGGGUCAACAGUUCGAACCUGUUACGGCUCA
rfam:Lactobacillus backii strain TMW 1.1989, complete genome.